rnacentral:rRNA from 1 species
UACAGAGGGGGCAAGCGUUGUUCGGAAUUACUGGGCGUAAAGGGCGCGUAGGCGGCCUGUUAAGUCGAACGUGAAAUCCCCGGGCUCAACCCGGGAACUGCGUCCGAUACUGGCAGGCUUGAAUCCGAGAGAGGGAUGCGGAAUUCCAGGUGUAGCGGUGAAAUGCGUAGAUAUCUGGAGGAACACCGGUGGCGAAGGCGGCAUCCUGGACCGGUAUUGACGCUGAGGCGCGAAAGCCAGGGGAGCAAACGGG